AUGGCGACGCCGACGCCCACUCCCGCUCCCACCUCGCCCGCUUGCACGCCGGCUGCUUUGGCGUUCGGCGGCCGUGGCGGCUUCCUCCUCGCUCGCGCCCGGGUCGGCCCUGGCGCUGGCGGCCGAUGGGUGGUCCGCGCCCAGCCGGCGGCGGCCGAGCUGGUGGAGCGGUCGGUGAACACCAUCCGGUUCCUGGCCGUGGACGCCGUGGAGAAGGCCAAGUCCGGCCACCCGGGGCUCCCCAUGGGCUGCGCGCCGCUGGGCCACGUCCUCUUCGACGAGUUCCUCCGCUUCAACCCGGCCAACCACGCCUGGUUCGACCGCGACCGCUUGGUGCUCUCCGCCGGCCACGGCUGCAUGCUCCACUACGCGCUGCUCCACCUCGCCGGAUACCAAGGCGUCACGAUAGAUGACCUGAAAGCCUUCCGGCAGUGGGGGAGCAGAACUCCUGGUCAUCCAGAAAAUUUUGAGACAGAUGGUGUUGAAGUCACCACCGGUCCUCUGGGGCAGGGCUUUGCAAACGCUGUUGGACUAGCACUUGCUGAGAAACACCUAGCUGCUCGUUUCAACAAGCCUGAUUUAACAGUCGUGGACCAUUACACGUAUGUUAUUCUUGGGGAUGGUUGUCAAAUGGAAGGUGUUGCGAAUGAGGCCGCCUCCCUUGCUGGUCACUGGGGUCUCGGAAAGUUGAUUGCCUUCUAUGAUGACAAUCAUAUAUCAAUCGAUGGAAGUACGGCUAUUGCUUUCACUGAAGAUCAUACUAUCUGGGUGCAGAAUGGAAACACUGGCUAUGAUGACAUCCGUGCAGCUAUAAAAGAAGCAAAGGAGGUCAAAGAUAAGCCAACUCUUAUCAAGGUGACAACUACAAUUGGUUAUGGAUCGCCAAACAAAGCAAGCACACACAGUGUCCAUGGGAGCGCUUUAGGUUCCAAAGAAGUUGAGGCAACCAGAAAAAAUCUUUCCUGGGCUCAUGAACCUUUCCAUGUGCCUGAUGAGGUGAAAAGGCAUUGGGCUCAUCAUCUUGAAGAGGGUGCUUCUCUUGAAGCUGAAUGGAAUGCAAAGUUUGCAGAAUAUGAAAAGAAAUACCACCAGGAGGCUGUCGAGCUAAAUAGCAUAAUAUCAGGGAAGCUUCCGGCUGGGUGGGAAGAUGCUCUUCCGAAAUAUACCCCCGAAAGUCCUGCUGAUGCUACAAGGAACCUAUCUCAGCAAUGCUUGAAUGCUCUUGCUAAAGUAAUACCCGGAUUUCUUGGAGGCAGUGCUGAUCUUGCAUCAUCAAACAUGACAUUGCUAAAGAUGUUUGGUGAUUUCCAGAAGGACACCCCUGAAGAGCGAAACAUCCGCUUUGGUGUCAGAGAGCACGCGAUGGGCGCCAUCUGCAAUGGCAUUGCUGUACACAGCCCUGGCCUGAUACCUUACUGUUCGACAUUCUUCGUGUUCGCCGACUACAUGAGAGCUCCUAUACGCCUUUCGGCCCUGUCUGAAUCAGGAGUGAUCUUUGUGAUGACUCAUGAUUCCAUUGGACUUGGAGAAGAUGGGCCGACACAUCAGCCGGUUGAGCAGUUAUUCAGCCUCCGAGCAAUGCCGGGCAUAUUAAUACUCCGACCAGCUGAUGGAACCGAGACUUCUGCGGCUUAUAGGAUCGCGGUUAUCAACAGGAAGAGGCCAUCUAUCCUUGCACUCUCUAGGCAGAAGCUCCCACAGUUGGAAGGGACAUCGGUUGAAGGCGUUGCUAAGGGAGGGUAUGUCAUUUCUGACAAUUCCUCAGGCAACAAACCUGACCUCAUCCUCAUCAGCACAGGCUCUGAGCUCGAGAUCGCGGAAAAAGCUGCAGAUCAGCUGAGGAAGGAGGGGAAAUCUGUACGGGUUGUCUCGCUUGUUUGCUGGGAAUUGUUUGAGGAGCAGUCUGAGGAAUACAAGGAGAGUGUCCUACCAAGCGAUGUUACUUCCAGGAUUAGCAUCGAGGCUGGUGUCACAAUGGGAUGGGAGAAGUACAUCGGACAGAAGGGUAAAGCAGUCGGCAUUGACCGCUUCGGUUCAAGUGCUCCUGCUGGGAAAAUAUACAAGGAGCUUGGUUUGACGGUAGAGAAUCUCAUUGCAACAGUCAAAUCACUGUAA
rnacentral:rRNA from 1 species